GAGAAAUGGUCCAAAUUUUUUUUAAUCCAAAACCUUACUUCUCGAUUGGAGCUCUGCUUUGUUGGUGUCUGUCUUGUUUUUGUUCAAACGCCUGUGCUGCAACAUUUCUUAGCUAUUGCCAACAGCAAGGGAGUAGAGUUCCAUUCGAGAGGUCUGUUUUUUUCCUUCCUUUUAUUGAAUUCUUGUCAUUUUCGUGUUGGAUUUUUUUGUUUGAUUGUUCUAAAAUUGGUUAAAACAGUUCGUAGUAAGUGAUAUUUCAAUUGGCUGUUAAUAGAUGUUGCCAAUAAUUCUUAUUCUUCUUCUUUAAUGUGAUUUUUGUUUCUUGGGAUUUAUGUUCUUCCACAUGAAUGCGGGAAUAGAGGUUUGUCCUGGCUUGGAAAUUUAUCAAAUUGUAUUAGGAUCUUUUGCUUGCUAAACAUUGUUUGGAUGGUUUCUAUGUUCAUCCACAUGAAUGUGGUACUUUGCUUUCAUGUCAAUCUAUAAGUAAAGAAAUCCAAUUCUUACCCACCUUGUCUUCCUUCAUUGGUUAAAGAAAAAUAAAUGAAAUUCUAAACUUAGUGAGUGGAUACGCCAGAGUGGUUUUGAAAAACUUGCGUUUAGUUUGCGAAGAUUUUAAGGGAACUCAGAAUUUUAGUAUAAUUUGGAUGUAGGGGAACUCAGAUGCAUAAGGCAAUUACUUCUUAAAAAGAUUCCUAUGUAAUUUAUGCAAAGAAAGCAAGUACCCAAACACUAGGCUUUUAUGAAUUCAGAUCUAAGCUAGAAGUGUAGAUUAAUCAACUUUUCUGUUAGUUAGUUUGUGAGUUUGUGGUUCUUUAAAAAGCAAUUUUAGCAACUCAAUCAUCAAAAAUCAAUAGUGAUACAAGAAAAAGAAAAGCAAAAGCAAACUAUGGGAAUUUCUUCCAUGAAGUAAUUUGUUGAUUGGUUUCUUCAUGUAUUUUUAAGAGUGUGAGAAGUGAAAGUUUCAUGUUUCUAUUCCCAUCCAUAAGCACAGUUGUAAGUCUUAGCAGCUUAGGCCAUGGCAUGUUUGAUAGCAUCUUAGCUUUGGGGCUUGACCAAUCUAGGCCUGAUCACAAGUCAGAAUCCACUUGUGAGCCUAAUGAGAUGAUGUAAUCUAUCAGAUUGGAAUUGAACUUAGUCCCAUAUUGUUUAGUUAUGCAUAAUUGUAAAGCCUUGUAUAAAACAGAAACAAGAGGUUGUCCAGUAUGGCCCCUGCGUAAGGAUGACUGGCACAAAUCCAGAAAUGGUCCAAAUUUUGUUUUUAAACCUUUCUGAAGCUUUGUAACAAUGGUUUCUCUCUCUGAUUGCACAUUUUGCCUUGGAUGAUUUCUUAGCUGCUAGGAUCAGCACUGGAGAUUGCAUUCAAAAUUUCUUAGCUAUUGGUUUCUUUUUUUUUUUUCCUUUAUUAAAUGAUUGCAGUAUGACAUACUGCAGUAGGAUUUUGUGCUCCAAAAUGGUUUAGCAGCUCUAGUAUGAAUCUACUAUUCAGGACUGAAGCUCUUUGCCAUUCUGCAAAUUUAUGAAGGCUUUGUCUGUGAUUUAUUUAUUUAUUCAUUUAUUUUUAUUUUACUCUCGCUUUGCUUGCAAGAUAUUUUUCAGAUAACUCCUGAGUGGUUUUUGUUGAUAAUUAAUUAUCCAGAAAAUCAAGCACCUGGAGUUUUUUUAUUGGGUGUAAGGGGACCUAGAUGCACAAGGCCAAUUUCUUCUUACAAGUAACAUGCUUCCUAUAUAAUUUAAUACAAAUACAGAAAGUAUCCUAGUUUAGACUGUUAUGAAUUGAGAUCUAAGCUAAUAGAGCAGCUUUAACUUCAUGUUUAAGCACAGUUGUAAGUACUAGGAGCCUAGCCAACCCAUUGCAAGUUUGAUAAUGUCUUAUUAUUGGAUCUUGACCAAUCUAGGCUUGACAAGUCAGAAUCCACUUGUGGGCCUGAUGAGAUGAUGUAAUCCAUCCAUGUUGUAAAGUCAUCUAGUUGGAAUUGAACUUAGUCCCACAUCGUUUAGUUAUGUAAAGUUGAAAGCCUUUAUAAAAAUAAAACAGAAAUAAAUGGUUGUCCCUUCGGGGACAUCCGAUAAAAUUUGAAUGAUACAAAGAAGAUUAGCAUGGCCCCUGCGCAAGGAUGACACGCACAAAUCGCAAAAUGGUCCAAAUUUUUUUUUAAUCCUCCAGAUUUUUGUACCCUAGCCUUUGCUGAUUUUCAAAUGGUUUCUCUUCUGAUUUUACAUUUUUCCCUGCAAAAUUUAUUGGCAUUAAGAUCAAUACUGGACAUCAAAUCCAAAAAUUCUGUUGUUAUUUCCUUUCCUUUAUUAAAUUCUUGUUAUAUUUCACAGUGCAAUUAGGAUUUUGUUCUCCAAAAUGGUUUAGGAGCUCUAAUAUGAAUCUAUGAUUGAAGCUCUCUAUAUGCAAAUUUAUUAAUGCUUUGAGUGUCUUUGAUUUUUUUUUUACAACCUUUCUGUAGCUUUGUAACAAUGGUUUCUCUCUCUGGUUUCACCUUUUUGCCUUGCAAAAUUUCUACUACGCUCAGCACGGGAGAUUGCACUCAAAAGUUCUAUUGGUUUCUCUUUUUCCUUUAUUAAAUUUUUGCAGUAUUUCAUGCUGCAAUUAAAAUUUUGUGCCCAAAAAUGGUUUAGCAGCUCUAAUAUGAAUCCAGGGGAGUAAGGAGCAGUGAGUUGGCGCUUGAUGCCGUGCAACUCGCAGAAAUGUAUACUUGCCUCCGUGGUCUGUUCUAAACGUUUUGAGCUUACAUUCGGACUGGACUUCAAUAUGAGCUUUCACUUUCUUGAAAGCACUAAAAACCUCAUCUUUUCUUUUGAGCAUUUCAAUCCAUAUAUAAUGACUGUAAUCAUCCACGAGCAAGAGAAAAUACUUGUUUCUGCCGCAUAUGGUAGGUGAUGACGGCCCGCCCAAGUCACCAAAAACGAGUUCCAGAGAUUUGGUUGCUUGAUACUCUCCUACUUUCAGGAAACUCGUGCGAUGCUGCUUAUUGAUCACACAUUGUUCACAGACGUGCUUCACUGUUUCUAUCUCCGGUAAACCUUUCACCAUGCUUUCUUGUGCGAGCUUGCGUAAAGCUAGAUAGUUGAGGUGCCUAUAGCGUGCGUGCCAUAAGCAAGGCUUUUCAGACAACCUUGUCAGGUGGCACUCCAAUUUUGCUUGUGUCAUUCUCAUCGUGUAAAGGCGAUUUUCCGCUCUAUACACCUUGGCUAUCAACCUGUCCUUUGCGUCAUAUUCUCUCAGAAUUCCUCCUUUCACCACCAAUUUUGUUCCUGAUUCGUCGAGUUGACCGAGGCUUAUAAUAUUGGAUCUUAAUCAAGAAAUGUAGUACACGUUUGUUAGUUUGAAAUGAUCUCCGUUCUUGCACCGAAACACUGAAGUGCCUCGGCCUUCUACCUUGACGACUGAACCAUCACCGAACCUGACAUUCCCUUUCAUUGAUUCAUCGAGAUUGGUUAAGGCUAGCUUGUUACCUGUCAUAUGGUUGUUUGCCCCCGUAUCAUAAGCUCGUUCGUGCCCUACCUGUUACGUCGAUAGUUUGUUAAUAAGCACGUACCCACAUACUCUGAAUAUUUUGAAUUGUUCAGUGUUUGUUUCCUUCAACUCGAGUCUUGCGCAAUGUGGCUUCAAGCUCGGAUUAAGUUUCAUUUUUCAGUUUGUAAUGGUUGUUACAUUGAUUCAAGUAUAAAUAAGAACAAAAGGCCGAUCAAGAUUAUCGGUUAAGUUUGAAAAAUCUGAGCAAAAAACCUAAUACAAAAAUACUGCAGAAACUCAAAGUACACUGUUUGGCUCACACCCUCGGGAGUUCGUUUUUAGAGUCUACACAGUUCUCAUAAAGUCUGUCCUUUCAGCCAUUUCCACUUACACUAUGUCAAUUCUUAAGCAUCCCAGGAGUUUUUGUGAAAAGCUAAAUAGCAUGCUCUCAAGCUUCUGGUGGGGAAGUGGUGAAGACUCGAGAAAAUGCAUUAGAUUAGUUAGAAAAAAGCUUCCACUCCUAAAGCUAAAGGCGGCAUGGGUUUCAAGGAUUUCAAUCUUUUUAAUCUCGCUUGUCUUGGGAAAUAGUAUUGGAGACUUAUUCAGAAUCCGACAGCGGUUUGGGCUUGACUCAUCAAAGGUCUUUAUUUUCCAAGUACAGAUCUUUGGCAAGCUUCUCAUUCUAGAGCAGGCUCAGGGUAAACUUGUGAUUUUAAAUACGUUAUUAACUUUCUAAUUAUAUCCCUGAGCAGACAAGUUUUAAUUGCGACUGUGUAUUGGUUUAUUUGGAAAGAAAGGAACAAGGCAAUCUUUAACCACAUGCCUCCAGAUCCUAUCUUUGUGGCUUGCAAGACCCUUUCUAGUUUUCAAGAGCUAGAGUUUGUAAGAGACAUAAGCCGUUCAGUAGUGUUGUUCAUAAUUCUGGUGUUUCUGUUUGGCAAGCUCCACCUUUGGGAAUGUUAAAGUUCAAUUCUGAUGCUGCUUGGAAAUCUUAUUCUAUGCUUGCUUCUAUUGCUAUUGUGGUUCGGAACUGUUAUGGUAGAAGUUUAUAUGGUAGAAUUGGUAAGUGGUUGUUGCCGAGUCUCCUGUUGUGGUAGAAGCUUUAGGGGUCCUAGAGGCUAUGAAACUUGCUUUAGAGAUGGGAGCUAAGAAUGUUUUUAUGGAAAUAGAUUCAAAAUUGGUACAUUCGGCUGUCAUUUAAAAUUGUUUUUAUGGAAAUAGAGGCUAGCAACCUGCUGAAGCUGCUGUCCAAGGGACACAGCACAUACUGAAUCUGCCGGGCUUUUUGCAAAAUAAAGUUAAAAAAAAAAAAUAUUUCUUAAAUCCUGGUGCGCGAAAAAAUAUUUCUUAAACCAAGGUGAAUCGGUCUUCUACCGCAUUUUAUAAGUGCGGUAUUUUAUAAGUGCGGUAAGCUUUACCGCAUUUAUAAAAUGCGGUAGAGAGUCAUUGAAACAAAAUUAUAAUUUUUUUAAAUAAAAAAAAUUCUACCGCACUUUUAAAGUGCGGUAGAAUUUUUAAUAUAUUAUUUUUUAAUAAUUAAAAAUAUAUUGGCAGAGAGGGAGGGCAGAGAAAAAGUCCUCUACCGCACGAGAAUAUCAAAAAGUUAAAUUAUUUUAAUUUAUUUUAAUUUUAAAAAAAAUAAAAAUUAUACAUAAUUUUUAAUUAUUUAAUUUAUUUUUUUAUAAAAUAAAUAGAAACAUUUAUAUUUUAUAUUUUAAGUUGAUUGUUGUUCAGAAAAAGAACACUACCGCACUUUUAAAGUGCGGUAGAAGAGAGAGAAUAUAAAAAAGUUAAAUUAUUUUAAUUUAUUUUAAUUUUAAAAAAAUAAAAAUUAUGUAUAAUUUUUUAAUUAUUUAAUUUAUUUUCUCAUAAAAUAAAUAAAAAUAUUUAUAUUUUAAAUUGAUCAAAAUAUAUUUUUUAUUUUAUUAGUUGAAAUAUAUAUAUAUAUAUAUUUUAAUAAAUAAUUAUUAAUUAUUAUAUUUUUCAUUAUUAUAAUACCGCACUUUUAAAGNNNNNNNNNNNNNNNNNNNNNNNNNNNNNNNNNNNNNNNNNNNNNNNNNNNNNNNNNNNNNNNNNNNNNNNNNNNNNNNNNNNNNNNNNNNNNNNNNNNNNNNNNNNNNNNNNNNNNNNNNNNNNNNNNNNNNNNNNNNNNNNNNNNNNNNNNNNNNNNNNNNNNNNNNNNNNNNNNNNNNNNNNNNNNNNNNNNNNNNNNNNNNNNNNNNNNNNNNNNNNNNNNNNNNNNNNNNNNNNNNNNNNNNNNNNNNNNNNNNNNNNNNNNNCUUCCCUGCUCCCCAGCUCCCAUCUUCUUCCCGCUCCCCAGCUCCCCAUCUUCCCUGCUCUCCAUCUUCUUCCCGCUCCCCAUCUUCUUCCCUGCCCCUUCUUCCCUGCUCCACCUCCCCUCCCUGCUCCAUAUUUCCUUUUUUUCCAAGUUUCGCUCCUUCUUUUUUUUUUUAAAUUUUAUAUAUAAAUAAAUAAUUAUAAUUAAUAUAAUAUAUUUAAUAUAAAAUAGAUAAUAUGAUGAAUUCUUCAUUUUACGUAUUACCGCACUUUUAAAGUGCGGUAAUACAUAAAUUAAAUUAUUAAUUUAAUUAUUAAAAAUUAUAAAAAUUUUUAAUUAUUAUAAAAUUUAAUAUUCUACCGCACUUUUAGUGCGGUAGAAUUUUUAAUAUAUUUUUUUAAUAUUUAAAAAAUCUACCGCACUUUAUCAGUGCGUUAGAAUUUUUUUAUUUAAAAAAAUUAUAAUUUUGAUUUAACUGCUCUCUACCGCAUUUUAUAAGUGCGGUAAAGCUUACCGCACUUAUAAAAUGCGGUAAAGGACUGAUUCACCCUGUUCUGAGAAAUAUUUUCUCACGGAUCAGGGUUUAAGAAAUAUUUUUUUUUUUUAACUUUAUUUUACAAAAAGCCCGAAUCUACCAUAACAAAACCUGAAGUUGCUGUUCAAACAGAACCAGCAACAUACACUGUUAAAACAGAACCGAAUCAGCAACCGAAGAAAUAGCACAGAACAUUGCGGUGUUUGCCCAAACAGCCUCUGGGAUGGCUCUCUUUCAUGGCGAUGAGGAUAAUUUGUUUAAAAAAUUUGCUUUCAAGAUCUAUCAUUAUUUUUGUUUAUUUAAUAUUUUAUAAUAUCAUCAACUAACAAAAUAAUUAUUCUAAUAAAAAGUAAUAUGCCCUUUAAAUUUAAUUUAGAAUUUUUUAAAAGAAAAUACUUAUAAUUUUUAUGUAUGUCUUAAAAAUUUUGAUACAGCUAUUAGUGAUAUAGUAAUAAUAGCUAUAGUAAUAAGAGGAAAAAGAUAUCAAUUUAUAAAAUUUCUGCAGCCACACAUGUAGAAUUAUUCUUAAUUCAUCAUAAGCAUGAAUAUUAUAUGAAUCAUAAACAUAAAAUUCAUCUAACACCCUAAUAAUAAAUCUUGAAUAAAUUACAUUUCACAAAUAUAGAAAAAUAUAUUUGAUGUAAAAUUAAUUGAUCCUUCUUAAUUCAAUAAAAGAGAGCUACGAAUUUGAAUAAAUUAAUUUUUCUUUUGACCCUUUUAAUUUUAUAUAAUCUUUAGUGAUGGAGACUUUCUAAUAGACAUUAUCUUAAUAUCUGGAAUGAAAACUUUGUUUGCCUUUGAGAAAGACGAAAAAGAAAGAAAAAUUUUAAAAGCAGUAGAAAAAAAAAGAGUAAAUUUAUGAUCUUGGUGUGUGCGUAUUAUGUAUACUAUGAAAAAUAAAAUACACAACUUUGGUUAUUUAAAUCAUUCGCUAAAUGGAUUAAACGUUAUUGUUUUUCAGUUGAAUUAUUUGAAAUGCUGAAGAGCCAUCUGUUAUUUUAUAAAAUUUACAAAUUUUAAAUUUUUUAUUAAAUGUUAUACUCUGAAUUAAUUUUUUACUUUCAAUCUUAUAAUUUUUUUAUCCCUUUUACAUAUAUUAAAAAAAAAAAAUUUUAUUCACUUUCUAAUUAUAUCUAUUUUAAAUAUAUUAAUAAAAUAUUUUAAAUAUUCACUUAAACUCUAUUUAUUUAUAAAAAAUAACUUGUAUUUUAAAGAUUUCCAAAACAUAAUACUAUUAUGAUCAUGGUAUUUUAAAUUAUGUAUCAAUACUUAAAAAUUUCUAUUUGGAUGAUUUUUAUUUUUAUUAUUAUAUUUUAAUAUUUAAAUUUUAUUUGUUUCAUAAAAAAUAUUUUUUAUAUUUUUUGGUGUUUGAAGCAUUCAAAAAAUUUAGUUAAUAAAAAUUAUUGUUCUGAUUAAAUAAAAAAAUUAAAUAUUUUAAAGAAAAUAACUUAAAAUAAAAGUUAUUUCCGAACAUUUGAUAAAAAUAUCAAAUUCUAUUUAUACAAAUUUUUAAUAAAUUUUAAUUUUAAAUUUUUACAUUUAAAUUAAUAUUAAAUAAUAAAAAAAAUAUCUCAAUACUUUUUAUAAAAAAUAUUUUUUAAAUAUAAAUUAUUUUCUGCAAAUAAAUAGAGAUUUAUAAUUAAAAGAAUUUUCAUUUAUAUUAUACACGUUGGAAAAAGAAGCAAGCAAUUUGAUGGACCGAAAAAUAAUCUAGACCGAUGUUGGGCCGAAAAUGUAUUUGAUUUUGGGCAUGAAAGCCCAUUAAAUGUCCAUCAAAUACAUUAGGUAAAAUCACAAGUUUGCCUGCUCAGGGUUUGCGUUUCGAUUUCACUCCAUCCUCAAACAGAUCAUACACAUUACACGCAGUACACACCGUAUUCUCUAUUCCUUGUGAUGAAUCUUGAUGCGUUGGAUUCAUCUGAUGAUCAUGGGAUCUCUUUUGUCAACGGUUAAAACUUAUUGUCACUGUACCAAUAACCAGACUCUUCCUACUCAAGGACACACGCAAUCAUCUUGAACAAUUGAUCAAUUGCCCGCCCAUAUUCACCUAUCGAGUGGGGCCACCUUAUAUUACCACAGACAGGUGUCGCACUUCCAAGCAUGAUCUACAGGUCACUGACCCUUGGUUGAGACACAUCAUCAGUGGAGGGCCCACGCGUAUGGUGUUAUCAAGGUGGCUUAAGAUGGCCAGAUAGUCAGGUGGUCUGGUUGAAAUCAAACUAAAAUCUAAACCCACAUCGUUCAUUGAGUUCAUUAUAAUAUUCUUUAUAAUGCGAAGCGAAAUGUGCAACGCUUGUCCCUUCGGGGACAUCCGAUAAAAUUGGAACGAUACAGAGAAGAUUAGCAUGGCCCCUGCGCAAGGAUGACACGCACAAAUCGAGAAAUGGUCCAAAUUUUUUUUUGAUCCAAAACCUUCUCGAUUGGCAGCUCUGCUUUUUUCGUGUCUCUCUGGUUUUUGUUCAAACACCUGUGCUGCAACAUUUCUUAGCUAUUGCCAACAGCAAGGGAGUAGAGUUCCAUUCGAGAGGUCUGUUUUUUUUUCCUUCCUUUUAUUGAAUUCUUGUCAUUUUCGUGUUGGAUUUUUUUGUUUGAUUGUUCUAAAAUUGGUUAAAACAGUUCGUAGUAAGUGAUAUUUCAAUUGGCUGUUAAUAGAUGUUGCCAAUAAUUCUUAUUCUUCUUCUUUAAUGUGAUUUUUUUUCUUGGGAUUUAUGUUCUUCCACAUGAAUGCGGGAAUAGAGGUUUGUCCUGGCUUGGAAAUUUAUCAAAUUGCAUUAGGAUCCUUGUGCUUGCUAAACAUUGUUUGGAUGGUUUCUAUGUUCAUCCACAUGAAUGUGG
rnacentral:lncRNA from 1 species